GCUGGGCAUGGUGGCGUGUGCCUGUAAUCCCAGCUACUCAGGAGGCUGAGGCAGGAGAAUUGCUUGAACCCAGGAGGUGGAGGUUGCGGUGAGCCAAGAUCGCGCCAUUGCACUCCAGCCUGGGUAACAAGAGCGAAACUCCAUCUCCAAAAAAAAAAAAAAAAAAAAAAGACGGAGUUUUGCUCUUGUUGCUCAGGCUGGAGCACAGUGGCAUGAUCUCAGCUCACUGCAACCUCUGCCUCCCGGGUUCAAGCAAUUCUCCU
rnacentral:sRNA from 1 species